rnacentral:lncRNA from 1 species
AUGUUCCAGAGCACAGCAGCCGGACGUGAAGGAAGAGAAAGUGAGGCUGCUGAGAAGACCCGUGUUCUUGGGCUGACCUCUGCUGGAGUAUGGCCAGGCCGUCUCUCUGGGCCUCCUGAGCCACAGUUAGGCAGCUGGUUUAUGAACCAUGAAGCAGGCUUUACUCAGUGGCCACAUCAGCUUCUGCUGGAAUUCACAAACUGGUGCAUCUUUCACAUCAUCCAACAAAGGGUCACCCGUCUGCUCUCUGCUUCGGAAAGAGGGCAACUGUCAGGUCCCGCCCUGUCUGCAGUGACGUCCAUCUCUGCUUUAACUGUGCUGCCCCUGUGGACGGCAGGGAGGGCUUUGCAUCCGCUGACGGGGCCUCAAUGGGAGGCCGCAUGCCUGCUUCUUAUUGCAAGGAAGAACCAAAACGAUCAGAAGGGCUCCAGCCUCCUCCCCCAGGCCCACCGUGCACCGUGGGGCAGCCUUGUGGGUCAGUCCGAGAGGACAGCCACAGCCCAGGGGUGUCGGCGACUUUCACAGGCUGCACUGCCAUCCCACGGCCUCCCACCCCGAUGUCUCUGGGAUCAUCCUGAGCGUUGUGAGCUACGCCCCUCGUCACAAACACACCCGUGUGCCACACAGGGCUCCCUCCAGAAGUGGCUGUGCAGGGAAACCCUGAGGCCCCCAUCUGCGCUGGCAUUUGCAGAGGUGACCCUGGCAGCCCCCUACUGUGUCCCGGGCAGGUCGGGUCACCUGCCCCCAGCACCAGCCUCUGCCACUUCAGUGGUGCCCACAGACCAGUGUCCCCCCUGCUCAGACAGCCCCAAUGUCUCUGGAAAUGUCACACCACGUGGUACAAGCCGCUUUCCAGCUUCUGGAGCCUCUCGGCCCCCUGUGAGCACAGACACCGAGCAGCUCCAACACCAGGAGGGCGGCGGCUGCCGGCGGGGAGGGACGCCACCGAUGGCGGUCACAGGCUGGAGACUCAGGGUGAUGGGAGAGAAAGGACGUGGUCACCAGCGAGGACCAGCCUCCCAGCGACAGCUGAGAUGGGGCUGUGAUGUGUCGACCUCCUUCAACCUCCACUGUGGAAGUUUCCGGCAGGUUGGAAGGGGGGUGAGAAGCAUGUUGAUUCCCUCCACCCCCCAGCCAGUCUACCCCAAUAGAAGAGCCCUCGAUGGGAAGGAGGGGAGAUGGGGCAAGUGGACAGGCAUGUGGACUCCCCACACAGGACCACGCAGGCCUGGUUCACAUCGUCAUCUGGACGGACGGGCAGCCUCACUGGUCAUGCACAGAAGCUUCCAGGACGGGGAGCGAGCUCUGGAGCCCCAAACCGGUCCAUCUGUUCCUGAGAGCCAGCGACAGCCCGGCAUGCAGGCUCUGGGCAGGAGGAAGGAUUCAGUUUCCGGGGAUGAGAAAGCAUGA